UUUCGCAAUGCCCGAAAGGGUGACGAAGCGACGCCGCGUGUGGGAAGAAGGCCUUCGGGUUGUAAACCACUGUCGGGAGUUAAGAAAUACAAGGAUAUUAAUAGUGUCUUUGUUUGACUAAGGCUCCGGAGGAAGCCACGGCUAACUCUGUGCCAGCAGCCGCGGUAAUACAGAGGCGGCAAGCGUUGUUCGGAAUUAUUGGGCGUAAAGAGCACGUAGGCGGCUAUGUAAGUCGGUUGUGAAAGCCUUCCGCUCAACGGAAGAGCAGCAUCCGAUACUACAUGGCUUGAGUGCGGGAGGGGAGAGUGGAACUUCUGGUGGAGCGGUGAAAUGCGUAGAUAUCAGAAGGAACGCCGGCGGCGAAAGCGGCUCUCUGGCCCAUAACUGACGCUGAGUGUGCGAAAGCUAGGGGAGCAAACGGGAUUAGAUACCCCGGUAGUCCUAGCCGUAAACGAUGGGCACUAAGUAGAGGGGUUUU
rnacentral:rRNA from 1 species